GAUGAACGCUGGCGGCGUGCCUAAUACAUGCAAGUCGAGCGAACGGACGAGAAGCUUGCUUCUCUGAUGUUAGCGGCGGACGGGUGAGUAACACGUGGAUAACCUACCUAUAAGACUGGGAUAACUUCGGGAAACCGGAGCUAAUACCGGAUAAUAUAUUGAACCGCAUGGUUCAAUAGUGAAAGACGGUCUUGCUGUCACUUAUAGAUGGAUCCGCGCUGCAUUAGCUAGUUGGUAAGGUAACGGCUUACCAAGGCAACGAUGCAUAGCCGACCUGAGAGGGUGAUCGGCCACACUGGAACUGAGACACGGUCCAGACUCCUACGGGAGGCAGCAGUAGGGAAUCUUCCGCAAUGGGCGAAAGCCUGACGGAGCAACGCCGCGUGAGUGAUGAAGGUCUUCGGAUCGUAAAACUCUGUUAUUAGGGAAGAACAUAUGUGUAAGUAACUGUGCACAUCUUGACGGUACCUAAUCAGAAAGCCACGGCUAACUACGUG
rnacentral:rRNA from 1 species